UUUAAGGCAUAAAAUAUCUGCAAAUUAAGAUUAUAUACAAAAAUGCAUGUUCUGGGUGUUCCCGUGAUUCCUUUUCUAUCAUUUAUUUUUCUUUAAGUCUGGAAUCUGAUUCCUUUUGGGAUGAGCACCCCUCUGAGCCCCCCAGUUUCAGAGGCUUCUUUGGAGGUGACCACUGAAAAGUAUAGAUUCUAUAAAAUAGAUGUGAG